UGGAUGGAUCCCUUUUGCUUUCUUCACCCCACGGGAAUCCACCGCCCUGAGAUAGAUCUGAUGAUGGACAAACUUUCCCAGCAUCCUCCAGGGACAAGGAUUUGAGAGGUGCACAAGGGAUUCAUCCAGUCUGAUGCACAUACAGGGAUGCUCCAAGCGUUUCCUUAGGGAAUUCCUGUUGCUACGGAGCACUUUAAACGCAGAGCUUCGGAUUCCACCCCCAGGAAACAGAAAUCCAGCUCGUUUCAGCCUGGCUUUGGUUUUUAAACGAGACAGGACAGUGCUAAUCAAGCUCUGGGAGAUUAACUUGAAGAAACCCCUGAUCCAUUCCAGCACUUCUUAUUUCUGGGACACCUGUGCAAUAAUUCCCUGAGCUCCUCCAAACUCCUUUGGCUGCCAUCGAUUUUUGGGCUUAUCAAGCCAAAUGAAAA